GUCUAAAUACCGAGAAACAUGCACCAGAUCCUAUCUGGUCUUGGAAGCUAAACAUAAACAAUAUCAAGGCUAGUUAGUACUUUGAUGAGGGACCAGCAAGGAAUGCUGGGUGCUCUAGACC
rnacentral:rRNA from 11 species